CAGCGAGAAGCUACGCAGUCGUUAGCUGUUCCAUCGCUGCCGUGGCUGGUUAACCGUCAGAGAUGGCUUAGCGGCGGAUUCAGGUGGGAAUGAGAGAAGAAAUCGGCCACAUACCUACGAAGAAUAAUUGCGACGUCUGCUUAAGGUUCGCGCCGGUAGCAGUGCAGCGCUCGCGAGGUGGAAAGGCUAUCCGUGCAGCGCAGUCUCGACAGCGAGGAGCGUUGUGCAGCCUCUACAGCGGUCGGCGGCGGCCAGAUGAGGUGGAGGUGAGGCAAGGACUGGUUUGUCCAGUGGCGCUGGACCCGCGUCACCGUGUUUACGGCGCUACUCUCCUGGAGGAGGGGAGAGUGGGGACAGAAAACACUCCUUGCAGCGACACAUCGAAAACAAGUCCUAGGCUCGACGGUGACAGCAAGCUAUGUUUCGGGGAUGGAAGACAGAGCUCUUGGAUCGGCGCCUGGUAACUGGUACACUUUUCUCGGAAGAACAACACUGUGACGUUGUAAGAAGCGGAACGUGGUAGGUGGCGGACUCACUCACCUAUGGAGAGCGCGAUCAAGUGCUUGUCGGGGUUGGGCUGUAUGGCCAGCUCCUCGACGAUCUUGCGCAGUGGGUUGUGCGUCCUGCGCGCCACGCAGGAGGCGGGCACGCACGCCCAGCCGCCUCGCUGCGGCUGCUGCUGCGGCUGCUGUGGCUCCAUGGCACACGGGCUGUGGCGGGCGGCUCUCCGGGCGGCCGCUUAUAUCGCGGGCAGCCGCCUCAGCCGGCAGCGGCCGGCCCAGCCCAGCCUCGCUGCGCCGCCUCCGGGCCCCGCGACGCCGCACCGUCGCAGCCACCACGAGCGCUGCCGACCACACGCGCACCUCAGCCCUUUCCUCAAAAUACGGACAUUUACACAGCUGGCAAUCAAAAGUGAAACACCGUUCAACAACUAACGUCAAAUGUACACGAAGUGGUCUGCUUGUUUGGGUACGCACGUGAUUAGCAUUUCAGCGCAGCCGCACUAACGAGAAGAACACUGCAAGUGCCAGAACGCGAUUUCCCAGAAACUUCGCGCAGUGAAAGAGGGGUCAAAAUAAGCGAUUAUGUGUAUCGGCUUAUCCGUAGGCCGGCAGGAGUGGCCGAGCGGUUCUAGGCCCUUCAGUCUGGAACAACGCGACCGCUACCGUCGCUGGUUCGAAUCCUGCCUCGGGCAUGGAUGUGUGUGAUGUCCUUAGGUUAGUUAGGUUUAAGUAGUUCUAAGUUCUAGGGGACUGAUGACCUCAGAUGUUAAGUCCCGUAGUGCUCAGAGCCAUUUGAACCAUUUUUUGAGGUUAUCCGUAGACUCGAUUGUUUUUGGCGAAAACAAGAUCACAGUUUUCGGUUUAUUUUAUGUGCCUUUCGGCUAGUAAACAGUCCAACCGAAGCGGUGGCGUAGCGUCUGACGUCGCGGCUUCACCUGAUUAUUAUUUUUUCUCUGUUUUUCAUUUAUCGACUCCUGACCGUAGAAGAUUAGUACACGAAUAUCUUCCAGUGUAUAUUGAAAUAAUGUAGUCCCAAUUCACUUAUUAACUAUAAGUAUGAUGAAUGAAUUGAGAAAAAAAGAAACAAUAAAUGAAUGAAAAACUAAAAAUUCCUGGCAGAUUAAAACUGUGUGCCGGACCGAGACUCGAACUCAGGACCUUUGCCUUUCGCGGGCAAGUGCUCUACUGGAAGAAGCACAGAUGUGAGCACGGGGUGUGAGUCUUGCUUGGGUAGCUCAGAUGGUAGAGCACUUGCCCGCGAAAGGCAAAGGUCCCGAGUUCGAUUCUCGAUCCGGCACGCAGUUUUAAUCUGCCAGGAAGUUUCAUAUCAGCGCACACUCCGCUGCAGAGUGAAAAUCUCAUUCUGGAAUGAAAAACUAUUUGAAAUUGUUUUCGGUGAAAUUCCUGUAGUGUAUCUUGAUUCAUAAUCCACUGCGAGCGCUAGUUUUCGGAAAUGUUAUCCGUUAUGCGUGGUUUGGCUCGAUGUUAUUGGUAACGCGCGAAACCUUCAGCAAAGUUAACGACGUUUAUUCCCCGAGUGAACGUCAUGCCAAGAACGUCGCUGUGGCAAACCUGCAUUCGCGUCCUGAUAAUGUCGUGUGGAACCAGUAUCAUCCAAGGAAAUAGAGAAUAAACAGAACAAUGAAAUACAAGAAUUAAGAACUGAUAUAACAAUAAAAUAUAAGAAUAUGAGAAUUUAAAAAGAUUGUAACUUCUGAAAAUACCGUACACGCUAGUACUAUAUAAUAAAUGUUUGACACUAGUUAUGACACCCAGUUAUAAUUUACAAUUAAUAUAACGCCAGUUGCAUCUCUUAAUUUGAUGAGAAACAUUUGUGUAGUAACCUUCUAGGGACAUGGGUAGACAAAUGAAAAAAAAAAUAAUAAUAAAACCAGCAAUCGAGUUUAGAAUACGGGACGCAAGAGUGAGACAAACAGCGGCACUACCCACUAUUCCACCAUUUGGGCUGGGCUUGUCACUCACUAAAGGGCAUCUACAUUACAUCGAAAACUUUGACGAUCGUCUUCGAAGAAACGGUCGAGCAUCUACGGAUAAGCCGGGAUACGUUUUCGUUUAUUUUAGCUUCACUUCCAAGUUUCUGUGAAAUCGGGUUAUCGCACUUGCCGUGUUCGUCAUGGACAGUGCGGCUGGUCCCGCGCGGAGGUUCAAGUCCUCCCUCUGGCAUGGGUGUGUGUGUUUGUAUUUAGGAUAAUUUAGGUUAAGUAGUGUGUAAAAAAAAUGGUUCAAAUGGCUCUGAGCACUAUGGGACUCAACUGCUGUGGUUAUCAGUCCCCUAGAACUUAGAACUACCCAAACCUAACUAACCUAAGGACAUCACACACAUCCAUGCCCGAGGCAGGAUUCGAACCUGCGACCGUAGCAGUCGCACGGUUCCGGACUGCGCGCCUAGAACCGCGAGACCACCGCGGCCGGCUAAGUAGUGUGUAAGCUUAGAGCCUGAUGACCUUAGCAGUUAAGUCCCAUAACAUUUCACACACAUUUGAACAUUUUUUAACUUGCCUAGUUCUCCUCGUAAAUAGGAGUAACACCAUCUACAUUCUGUAUGUAAGAAGAGAUUUUGUGGCACGUUUCUCAUUCGCAGAUCGCAUUUGAAUGUUGAUUGUUUGUGACAACAUCGCAACAUAAUAUGUUCCAGAACGCUGCGCGUAAAAACGACAUUUUUCUGGGGGUCAUAAGUCGGAUCCUAUUAGUUGUAGAAAAUUAGGUUCAAGUGUUUUGGGUAGCCUUUGGGUUAGGGACCAUUUGUAUACCCAACAGAACGAUCGUCUUACUGUAACUAUCCUCUAGAUUAGACAAAUGGAUCAAAUCGCUUGAUUCUUUUUGCCUUAUAUGUGCUCUGUGGUUCACAUCAAGGGACUUAUGGAGGCACCAUUUAAUUCACGGGCGGUUCCUGAGAAAACCCGAAAAACUUGGUUUUUGGGUAACAAAACAGAGACGCGCAUUCCAAGAAGGCUAUGCACAGAAAAUAACUGAAAUUCUUACGAUAUAUUCCCAAGGUCCAGAUGUCGAAUAACCUUGAAGAUUUUCUUGAUGUCUUUAUCCGUUUCCGAGAUACAAAGGUUAAAAGUUACCCUACUUGUACACACAAAAUACGGUGUGAGGCGGAAACCUAGUACAUAAAGUGACGUAUCACUCAGAAAUAUGCUGUAAAGUGUCUGCUUUAUUAUCAGAAGGGUUUUGGAAAUCCGAAGUUGUAUUAUUGCAGCACAUGAAAAAUUUUCCUGUACGUAAAAUCCGGUCUGAGAUGUAAAAUUUUUUCUGCGUUAUUUCAAUUUCACAUAAGUAAACUACCAAAAUUUUACUGACCCACCAAAUUCUUUUCAUGAGGGAGCCAGCAGUAAAAUGCUACUACCGGAGCAGAAAGAAGGCAGAUUACAUGUCAGGAGACAGAGCUCAUAAUGCCACGCUGUGAAACACUUCCUCUUGAAGAUAUUCAUUCACGAUACGAAUACACAGUACGUAUAUUUGUAUUAAGAAUGAAGACAGCUGCGAUGACCAACUAGAUCGUAUCAUUGGCGAGACAGCAUUUGACGGCGAAAUACGACAGAGGAUCACUGAAAGACCGAAGGCAACUCAAACAUCCAUACACCGCUCUAAGUGCCACAUCGUGCAUUCAUUGUCUAUCGCUCAUGUCGGCAGAUCACAGACCAUGUCGCUGUUGGAUAAACCAAAUUUGAAGAAUUAUUGUGGAGAGGACAAUAGGCGUGUCCUAGCAGAACAUGCAGUGCGCACUAAAAGAUUUUUGUGAUCGAUCAGAGAGAUAUAAUUUUGUUGCAGGAGAGGAGUCUCAAGUGGUUGUACCGCAACAUGGCGCCAUCUCCAUAUGCAGCUUGUUCUUCUGUCUUGAAUUAGACGAUCGGAUGCAAAAAUUUCGGUCGAACAUGAAAAUGUGAUGCAUAAUAAGUCCCCAAGAGAACAGACAUCAAAGUUCUUCGGGUCUUUAGUAGAGCCCAUAAUGCUGUUUUUGAAAUGAUGAAUGUACCACUCUGAAAUCACUAAUUGAAUAAAUUAUUACGAGAUUAAAGAUUGCACCAAGGAGUAA